rnacentral:rRNA from 1 species
UACAAAGAACUUGGCGGUGCUGCGAAUUCGUUUAGGGGAGUUUGGCGGUUAAUUCGAUGAACCACGUGUACUUCACCUUGUUAAUAUUUUCUAUACAGCCGUUGGUAGUCAUCUUUUAAGAAGAAUGGCGAAGCUCUUUAAUGAAGAGAAAUUCAGGUAAAUGUGGAGGUUAUAACAAGGGCUCAGCUGAGCUACAAUCCGAUGCGGACAUGAGCGCCCAUUUGAAAAAGUGGGUAAUAAGUGGACUUAACAGUAAAAAAUUUGCAGAAGAGAUUUUUGAACUGUGGAUCGCGGCGCGUACAAACCGCCCAACACUUCCGUAUUUAAAAACUGGGAUAAGUCGUAACAUGGUAGGAGUAA